AGUGAACGCUGGCGGUAGGCCUAACACAUGCAAGUCGAACGGCAGCACAGUAAGAGCUUGCUCUUACGGGUGGCGAGUGGCGGACGGGUGAGGAAUACAUCGGAAUCUACUUUUUCGUGGGGGAUAACGUAGGGAAACUUACGCUAAUACCGCAUACGACCUACGGGUGAAAGCAGGGGAUCUUCGGACCUUGCGCGAUUGAAUGAGCCGAUGUCGGAUUAGCUAGUUGGCGGGGUAAAGGCCCACCAAGGCGACGAUCCGUAGCUGGUCUGAGAGGAUGAUAGGCGACACUGGAGCUGAAACACGGUCCAGACUCCUGCGAGAGGCAGCAGUGGGGAAUAUUGGGCAAAGGGCGCAAGCCUGAUCCAGCCAUACCGCGUGGGUGAAGGAGGCGUUCGGGUUGUAAUGCCGUUUUGUUGGGAGAGAAAAGCAGCAGGUUAAUACCCCGCUGUUCUGACGGUACCCAAAAAAUAAGCACCGGCUAACUUCGUG
rnacentral:rRNA from 1 species